rfam:Oryza sativa Japonica Group DNA, chromosome 12, cultivar: Nipponbare, complete sequence.
AAUAAGUGCAGUUUUGCACUAUUCAUCUCCAACGUUUGACCGUUUGUCUUAUUUGAAAAAUUUUUAUAAUUACUAUUUUUAUUGUUAUUAGAUGAUAAAACAUGAAUAGUCAUUUAUGUGUGACUAAUUUUUUUUAUAAAUUUUUCAAAUAAGACGGACGGUCAAACGUUGGACAUGGAUUUUCAUGGUUGCACUUAUU